UCAGGAUAAUAGAACAGCAGAGGAAUCAAGGACGAUAGCAAUAAAGUAAUAGCGAGGGAAAAAACAAAACAAAAAAAAGGGAAAUUAAACUGGCAGAACACAGUCUGAACUCAACCAAAUUAAAAAGUACUUAAAAGGAACACAAAUUAUUGGACUUCCCUUGAUAAGUGUUCCAAUAAAAUCAGCUUUGGGCUGCUUUGGGUUGAAUGAAG